CCACAAUAAAUUAAAUCAUAGAGAGAGGACAGAGCAGAUUUUCAAACCUCUGCUGAGAACAUGAAGACAAGCCGUGUGUUUUUUUUCUUGGGCAUCAUCAUCAUCAUGGCGCUUUCCUCAGAUGCUAUCCCGCACAGCUUUGAUACUGCCCCAUGCUGUUUCAAAUUCUUCACUGGCAAAAUUCAUCCUGAAGAAGUCCUGGAAGUGAGGAAGACGGACUCACGCUGUGCUCAUCAAGGCUUCAUUGUUAAGAUGCCUCAGGUUGUUGGGCUGUGUGUUCAGGAAGAUCCCAGAAAAAGAAAUUAAAUCUACUAAAAUCUAAUCGAUCAAAUCUAACAAACAAACUUUAUUAAUGUAACAAACUAUUCAUUCAUUCAGAUGUGUGAAGCUUCAUUUCAAUCUCACUGAUGAUUAAUGAAUAAAACUGAAAGAAUCGAGCAUUAAACUGUAUUCAUUACUGACUAAUUAAUUUACUUUAAAUACCACUGUGGUGG